AGAGUUUGAUCCUGGCUCAGAACGAACGCUGGCGGCAGGCCUAACACAUGCAAGUCGAGCGCACUCUUCGGAGUGAGCGGCGGACGGGUUAGUAACGCGUGGGAACAUACCCUUUUCUACGGAAUAGCCUCGGGAAACUGAGAGUAAUACCGUAUACGCCCUUCGGGGGAAAGAUUUAUCGGUGAAGGAUUGGCCCGCGUUAGAUUAGAUAGUUGGUGGGGUAAUGGCCUACCAAGUCUACGAUCUAUAGCUGGUUUUAGAGGAUGAUCAGCAACACUGGGACUGAGACACGGCCCAGACUCCUACGGGAGGCAGCAGUGGGGAAUCUUAGACAAUGGGCGCAAGCCUGAUCUAGCCAUGCCGCGUGAGUGAUGAAGGCCUUAGGGUCGUAAAGCUCUUUCGCCAGGGAUGAUAAUGACAGUACCUGGUAAAGAAACCCCGGCUAACUCCGUGCCAGCAGCCGCGGUAAUACGGAGGGGGUUAGCGUUGUUCGGAAUUACUGGGCGUAAAGCGUACGUAGGCGGAUCAGAAAGUUAGGGGUGAAAUCCCGAGGCUCAACCUCGGAACUGCCUCUAAAACUCCUGGUCUUGAGUUCGAGAGAGGUGAGUGGAAUUCCAAGUGUAGAGGUGAAAUUCGUAGAUAUUUGGAGGAACACCAGUGGCGAAGGCGGCUCACUGGCUCGAUACUGACGCUGAGGUACGAAAGUGUGGGGAGCAAACAGGAUUAGAUACCCUGGUAGUCCACACCGUAAACG
rnacentral:rRNA from 1 species